rnacentral:rRNA from 1 species
GACGAACGCUGGCGGCGUGCUUAACACAUGCAAGUCGAACGGUGAAGCGCCUUCCUUUUUGGUGGGUGUGGAUGAGUGGCGAACGGGUGAGUAACACGUGAGUAACCUGCCCCCUUCUUCUGGAUAACCGCAUGAAAGUGUGGCUAAUACGGGAUAUUCUGGGUCUGUCGCAUGAUGGGUCUGGGAAAGAUAUUGUUUCGGUGGGGGAUGGGCUCGCGGCCUAUCAGCUUGUUGGUGGGGUGAUGGCCUACCAAGGCGGUGACGGGUAGCCGGCCUGAGAGGGUGGACGGUCACGCUGGGACUGAGACACGGCCCAGACUCCUACGGGAGGCAGCAGUGGGGAAUAUUGCACAAUGGGAGCAAGCCUGAUGCAGCGACGCCGCGUGAGGGAUGGAGGCCUUCGGGUUGUGAACCUCUUUCGCCAGUGAAGCAGGCCUGCCUCGUUUGUGGGUGGGUUGACGGUAGCUGGAUAAGAAGCGCCGGCUAACUACGUG